GAUGAACGCUGGCGGCGUGCCUAAUACAUGCAAGUCGAGCGAACAGACGAGGAGCUUGCUCCUCUGACGUUAGCGGCGGACGGGUGAGUAACACGUGGAUAACCUACCUAUAAGACUGGGAUAACUUCGGGAAGCCGGAGCUAAUACCGGAUAAUAUAUUGAACCGCAUGGUUCAAUAGUGAAAGACGGUUUUGCUGUCACUUAUAGAUGGAUCCGCGACGCAUUAGCUAGUUGGUAAGGUAACGGCUUACCAAGGCGACGAUGCGUAGCCGACCUGAGAGGGUGAUCGGCCACACUGGAACUGAGACACGGUCCAGACUCCUACGGGAGGCAGCAGUAGGGAAUCUUCCGCAAUGGGCGAAAGCCUGACGGAGCAACGCCGCGUGAGUGAUGAAGGUCUUCGGAUCGUAAAACUCUGUUAUUAGGGAAGAACAAAUGUGUAAGUAACUAUGCACGUCUUGACGGUACCUAAUCAGAAAGCCACGGCUAACUACGUG
rnacentral:rRNA from 1 species